ensembl:lncRNA
CCUUGAAGUCUUUUUGAGCUGGUAGGUUCCUCUCCAUCUCUUUCCCAUUCUGGCUUUUGCUAAAGUGUCAUUUAACAGGUUUCUUUACCCUUUGUAUUUCCUGUUAAUUAGGAAUAGACCUGGAAGAGUGAGUGAAUUCAGAUUUAAUGGCAAGAAAACCUCACAGAUAGUGUUGUGUGUUUUCAUCAAAGAUGCGUCAUGUCUGAUUGUCUCUUUUUCUGUGUUGCAGCCAUUGAAGCUCAGUGCUUAGAUUGCUUAUCGAAGCAAUAAGCUCAGUGCUUAUCCAAGUUUGCAACAUGGUGAUACCACCUUUUCACCAUUCCUUUCCUUACAAUACCUGAAAUACCACUAUAAACGGAAACUUGUCUACAUUACUGUUCAUAUUGGAAAGAGGAAAAGCGUCCAGAUUUUUUGCCAGUUUUCUAAAUAAUGAGUUGGUUUACUGGCACCCUCCAAAAGUGACAAGAUCUUCAGUUGCAGCAUGUGGGGUCUGUAGUUUCCGGACCAGCGACUGAACCCAUGCCCACUGCAGUAGAAGUGUGGAAUCCUAGCCACUGGGCCACCAGCAAGGUCCCUCCUUAAAGUUGACUUAUGUGGCUCAGUGGUAAAAGAAUCCACCUGCCAAUGCAGGAGACAUUGGUUCUAUCCCUGGGUCGGGAAGAUCCCUGGAGAAGAGAAUGGCAACCCACUCCAGUAUUCUUGCCUGGGAAAUCACAUGGACAGAGCCUGGAGGCUACAGUCUGUGGGGUCGCAAAAGAGUCGGACACGACUGAGCGACUCAACAACCACCAAUCAUCCUCUACCAUAUGCCCUUGCUUCCCACUGAGGGACUUUUUGGUUAAUUUUUUUCCUUAAAAAUUUUUUUUCAACAGAUAAAUAAUGUUAUAUUCCCCCUUUCUUAUAUGAAGAUAACAUAUUUCUCCGCUUACUCACUUAAUACAGUCUGGAGAUGUGUAAUGCCCC